GUUUUGUAUUUCGACCAGUGAUCCUGAACUUUGAGCUAGAUAAACUAACUGAAUCAGAGUUUGGAUUAUCUCUCCUGGAAAGGGAACAAGUAUGUUCUAUUUGUGGAAAGAAAUUUGCAUCUAAAUAGUUGGGUAGCUGAGCAAAUAUUGUACCAGAGACUGCUAUCUGUCUACCAAAUUCCAUUCUGUCCUUCCUUUAUGGCAAAUACAGAUUAAGUGCGAUGUGAACAACAUUGCUGGAUACAGUUUCUGCUUCACUUGUUUGAAGAUAAGCAAAAAACAAAGCCUGAGGUUGGAAUGCUCAAUAGUAUGGAAGAAAAGGAGUAGCAGGGUGCCUGGAGGUGGGCAGAAGUGGGCACAGGCCAAGCCAGUCUUGGUGCAGACCCUGAAUUUUGUUUUGCAAGAAACAUCUGAGCCAAGUAAUGCAUAAUCUAUCAAGCAGAAAGGAACAUUCUAUGCAGAAAAGAUUUGGAAAACAUGAGACAUGAAAGGGAGGAAAGAUGAGACAUGAAAAGAAAAGAGGAAAACUUAAGAGUCAUGGCCAGGUAUCUUUACACUAGCAACUAUAAAUGAUUGAUGCAAGAAUUUAAGCGCCAUCAGAAAUUUUCUUGUUGAGGACAGUGCUUUUCUGAGACUAAUAUGGUAUUGUUUUUGUUUGUUUGGCUUGCAGACUCUAUACUAGAUGAUUUUUACCUUUGUCUUAAAAGAUAUCAUUUUUCCUUUACACACAAGAAAAUGAAGGCUCAGAGAAGUAAUUUGUCCAAAAUAUAUACAGUGUCCAAGUGAUGGAGAGUUUGAGUCUAAACAGUUUUGCUCCUGCAUUUGCUGGCUUAACCAUUCUGCUGUAGAGUCAUACUCUUGCGAAACUGCAGAAUAAUAACAUAACUGAGUUUUUAACAUAAAUGAUAAAAAUAACAAACUGUUUUAAAACUUAGCACACUAGAAAGGAUUAUAAAAUUGUCUAUCUUCAUUUCCUAACUUAAAAAUGAAAAAGUUAAGAUCAGAAGACACUAAGAUAAAGGUCAAAGUCAUAUUGUUAGUAAAAAAACUUGACAAACCAGUUCUGAUUUCCAACUUAGUGUGCUACUGUUUUAACCAAACAAAUUGGAGAUUUACAAAGUUAAUCAGAACUCCAUAUGGAUAAAAUAGGUGUGACCGGUAAAGGACUUUUGGCCAUAUGAAUGAAAUUUGGUUUGCAGUUUAAUAAACAAAGCAGGUAUUAAGGCCAGUGUGUUGUUUAAUGCUAAUGUAUUAAAGAGCAAAGAUUUUAAUCCGAAGUCCAUGUGGUGGUUCAAAAGAGAUGCGAAAGCUUUCCAUUUCCUCCUGGAAUGCUGACAGCCAGAAGGAAUACCACUCUUGCCGUUGCAACUUUGUCACAUAUAGCUAGACAAACUACAAAUUCAUCACUGGAUAGGAACCCACCAAAAAGUUGAGGGUGCACAGUAAUUAACCUGAAAUGUAAGAAAACUAUCUGCGAGGGGAGAGAGAUAUGAAUACUCAUUUCACCGGAGCAGAUGCAACUACACACCAGUGAAAAUUAGUUAAAGAAUUCAAUGAAGAAAUGGGCAGAAGCCAAAUCUCAGAAGAGCCUUCAGCUACAGGCAGACAGCUACAAGCAUUGCUGCGCUUGCACUGGGGAAAAAAUUCUAGCUGUAUAGAAGGAACAAAAAAGGUUCUUGGCCUCAGAGGAAAGGCUGGAAUAUGUGAAUAGCCCUUAACUAUAGCUGUUGGAUGUGCAGAAGCACCGAGAAAGUCACAACCUCAAGAUCCAGGGACAAGAGGCUGCAUCAUACCAAGGAUUAAGGAGAAUAACAGGGACUUUCCCUCCGGCCUCCUUCUCCCCAGGCUAACAGUCAUCAGGUAACAGGCAAUGUUGGAGUAUGGACAGAGAAAGCAAGCACAUCUGAAGCACAGUGGAAGAGAAUGCAAAGCAGAUAACAGAGAAACCCUCUGCAAAUAAGUCCCCACCUUACAGUCAGAUGUCUCUGAAAGAAUUUGAAUACUGUUACCCCUGUUACCCUGAGUAUAAGAUAGCAUCAGGAAUCCUCAAACUCAACUCUUUUACUUUCCUAGAUCAACUCAAUUACUGUGAAUAAAGUCCUAGCAAAAGGAAAGGUAUGUCUAUAUAUAAACAUAGAAACUGUCUGAAUUUCUCUCUCUACACAAAUGCCCAACUCUCAACAAAAAUUACAAUAAAAACAAAUAAGAAAAAGCAACAAAUUAGCAAGAAAAAAGCAGUCAAUAGACCCAAGCUAUGAAAUUGAUCAGAAAGGAAAUUUGAAGUAACUAUGGUUAAUAUAUUGAAGGCUGUAAAGAAAAAGAUGGACAACAAAUAAUAACAGGUAGACUAUUUCAGCAGAGAUGGAAACUAUGAUAUGGAGUAAAAUGGAAAUGUUAGCAAUGAAAAGCAAAAUAACAGAGAUGUGUAUAACAUUUAAGGGCUUAUUAGAAGACUCAACAUAGCCAAGGAAAGAGUUAUUCAGCUUGAAAAUAAAUCUUUAAACAUUACCCAAAAUGGAGCACAAAAAGAUCCAAACUGUGUUCCUUAUUUAUUGUUAGUGAAGGCUGGGAUGUAGCUCAGUGAUAGAGCACUUGCCUAGAGUAUGCAAGGUCCUGGGUUUACUUCCCUGUUGUACUCAGAGUUUGGAACUGGAACAGUUUUCAGGGCUUGGGAUAUUUAGCAAACAUGACAAAUACAAUUCAAAUUUGUUUUUACUCUUCUAAAUGCCUGAGUGAUUCCAGGGUGUAAUCACAAGAAACUGUUUUCUCAAACAGUCGUCAAUACCAAAUUAGAACCUGAAGAGAUUCUUGUUCUGGUUUGGAUCCAUUCAGAAUGAAAAUAAUAUGCAUUUUUUAUAAUAUUCACUAAUUUAACAGAUAACGUUUGUUUCUUAAUUACUUAACAUUCUGGUUGCCUAAAUCCUUUCCUUCUUCACAAAUAGCAUUUGCCACUCUUUCCCAUCGUCUUAUGAAGUAUCAGAUUGUUCAUUCACUAAAGAAUGCUCGUGGGUAGGUGUGCCAAAGAACUUGGAGGGAUGCUGUACACAUGGUGUCCUAGGUAAGAGCCAAGUGACCAUCCCCCAUGAAAUCAGUUUUAGAAUCACAUAGCUUAGCUAUUCGAUUUAUCUUGGCCUUCUCUGAAAAGGAAUAGUAAUGGAAAUUUAUAAUUAUAAUCAGCUGUAUUCACAUUUCUAAAAAUCCUUUGACAUACUGCCUCAGUUAUGUGAAUAAUGUACACAUGCAAAAGGAAUGAAUAAAACAAUGGAAAUUUUAAGUACCAUUGAAACUGUUUUUCAACAAUUAUUUAUUUUGAGAUUCAUUACUCAUGAAUAGAGCUACCUUGCUGUCAUUGUUUAACAGCCUUGAAAUAUUUUUAGUCACUCACUUAAAUUCAUCAAUCUAGAGUAUUAAUGUAAAAUUUCAAUUUAAACAGUGUAGAGGCUUAAUGGUAGGAACCUCGGCUGAAAUUCUCUUUCCUCCUCCUGCUAUAUUAAUGCUGCCAAUAAGCUUGAGAUAAAAGAAACUCUUGGUACUAUUUAAAGCCAAAGGAAAUCACAGAAAUAAACUACAAAAAAUAACUCUCUAAAUAUACCAAUAAACUUUUUUAAUGACUGAAAGCAUGAUGCAGUUCUUUUUUUAUACAUAAUUUAGAAUUUAAAGUUUUAAAUCAACAUGGAAGUUUUACAAAUUGGAAAUUCUUGGACAAAUGAACUAAAAGUUUACAUUUGCUUAAUUCAUCUUGAUUGUGUACUCGAUCAGGUCUUUCUAAACAUUUUAGUUUCGAUUCUAAAUUUGUUUUUGUAACUUUUAUUCGCCCAAAUUCCCUUACAGUAUUUUAUAACAACUUAACGUAAAUAUGGCAACAAAUGAACCAGAUUUCUCUGUAUUAAGGACAUUUAAAAAUGCUAGAGUGAGAAGUUUCCCUUGCUCAACCCACAGGAGAAAGAUUUUAAUUUUUUUUUAAGUAGGAGAAGCCACACUCACUAAUACUAAUCACCAUGGAAGCUGAAUUUAGAAAGAACAUUGGUGUCACCCUUACAACUCGAAUACACGUAACUGGAGAAGCUAUGGAUUCGUUGCUUUUCUUGGACCUAUCAGAACGUUGAGAGACCAGGACUGGGAAGAGACAAACAGAGACAAGAGAGACAAUAUAUAGGUGAAGUCCUAAACUAGGGCAGUUGCAGUGGGAAAAGAAGGUAAAAGGAGACCGACUAACAAAAUGUUACAUAGAUGGAAUCUGUAGGAUUCUAGCAAAGAAUUGUUUAUGGAGAACGAUGCAUCAGGAUGAACUGGUAAUGACCAUGAGGCUUCCAGCCUUUGUCAGGUGGAGAAGGGAAGUGCCAGUAAUGGAGGCAGUAGCAGAGGUUGGGGACAUCUUGAAGCAGGGGCCAGUUACACUUAGAGGUAGUUGGUUUAAAAUCUAUCUCUGGUAUUUAAUUUCAUUUGAUAACAAAUAAUUUCUUAAUUUCUUUCUGACUUAGUUUGCCCAUCUAUAUACUAGGGUAAGAAAUAUGAUCCUACAGAUAGUUGUUAUGAGGUUGGAGAUCUACUGCCUGAAAAGCACCUUACACAAAGUGGGUUUCAGGGUGGUAAAUGGAAGUUAUUUUAUUGUCGCUAUUAUGACUACUGUAAAGAAAUAAGCACCAUCCUAAUUAUUAAUUGGUAAUGGGCAAUUGUCUGCAUUAGGGAAGUCAUCAGGAGCAUUGCACAAGGCAGUGCCUCACACCCUGGGGGCUGGCCUGACUCUUGCAGAGAGAGACUAGCUGUCCAUUUGAGGGGAGUGAACACCAAGGCAACCUAUCUGCGGGACCAGUCUUUGGAGGCUUGCUUUCUUCUUCUGCUUUGUGAUUUGAAGUAAUCUGGAAAGGAUUUACAACACGAAAAGGGAAAUGGGACAAGACAGGUUAAGGAAUGGAGGUGAGAGCUGUCUGUCCAAGACUGAGGAAAGGUGCAUUAAUGAGAGGCUCCAUUAAGAUCCAGGGCAGGGCACUGAGUGCAGGACUUGAAGCUGGCACAGUAGACAGGGUGUGGUGCAAGAACUGUGAGCUGAAAAGGUGCAAUCACCAUAAAAAGAGGGAGGUUCCUGGGAAGGGCAGGCAGCAGGAAGGUGGAGACAUGGGAGGGGCAGGAUUGGGAAGGGACAAAUGGGAAAUUGCUGGGCCCAGCGGGGUGGGGCUCAUCCAAUAAAUCACUUGCAGGUUUUGGAACUGGCUUGAGUGUCUUCUUUAGGUUGCUGCUCCAUUAAAGACACUGGUUCCUUUCUGAGGUGACUUUAUUCACCCCAUUAGUCACCUGAAGCAGAUGGACAGCUUCAGGGUGCUUGAGGAAUAAGUGGUACCCAGCAGUUGACUCUCCUUCACUUGAGCAAGCACAAGCAGGAUUGCACAUCUCUGAAGCAGAGGAGAUGGUAUUGGGAAUGGACAAACAUAAUAUCAGGGUGGGGCAGGGUUAUCACUUGAAUUAAUUAUAUUGCAAAAAUGUGGUGCUCAUACAAUCAUGUGCAUGAUAGAUACAUCAGUAUGCAUUUAGGUUUUUCUGAUAAAUCCUUGGAUUUAUUUAGUGUAUUAAAUUAUAGCCUAUAGAAUUCUGUGGUUGGUAUGUAAAAAACAAAAGGAAGAAGGAGAGGACCUGUGAAGAAAAUGAGAAUAGUCUUGGUAUGAGCUAGAACUGGAUUCAAAUCCCAGCUCUGUCUCUUAGCUGGGGGGCUUUAAGCAAACUACUUAGCUUCUUUUAGCCUUAGUUCUGUCAGCUGUCAAAGAGGUGUUAUAGAGCGUAACAUAUGUAACACAGCACAUAGCAGGUACUUAUAAAUGAAAGCUGUUAUUACUUUUUAAGUUAACCCUUGUUUUUUUUUUUCUUAUGUAAUUAUCUUUUAUAUAUUUUCAAAGUCACUGAGGCGGGACUGUGACUAAUUUCCCAGAGGAGAAGAAUGAGGGUAGCGUGGUUAAGUUGCUUGGGGGGAAUCAUAGAGUUUAUAGGUAGCAGAGCUAACAGUGUAGUCCAAGUCUUCCAACUUCCACACUGUGUCCUUUCCAUAUAUAAUGUGGAAGAUGUAGAGAUACAAAGAGGUAGGAACCAAGACUGUCAUUCUGCAUGUAUUUUGCAAUGCAAAGGGAAAAUCACUGCCUCUGUGAAAUGGUGUAACUUUUAGAAAAAAAAUAUUUUAGCACAUAAUAUUUGCACAUAGUAAUGGGGUACCAAUGUGAUAGUUCAGUACCUACAUACCAUAUGUAGAAAUCAAAUGUGGUAGUUAGCAUAAAAUUAUGUGAUUAAGACUAAAUUAGGGAUAGUCCUUUUGUCUUAGAAAACACUUUGUGGAUGCUCUCAACUCUGUAGCAUUAAACUUCCAGGACACUCCCUUAUUUCACUUGCAAAGAGGGGAGAGCCUCAGGAAUCAGGUUCACAAUCCAUGUAGUCAAAGGUAAGGGAGAAGUACAAGACAGUUGAAAGUCCUAAAGACUCUCUUGCUUUAUUCAAUAAUUAUUUUGAAAAACAGUCUCUAAAGAUGCUGCUCAUUUCCACACGUGAGAUGGCUGCAUUGCCCAUAUUGCUUGUAUUCUAACAAAGAGAACCAAAUAGAAGGAUCCCAGGCAGUUUUGUUAAACUUCUGAAUAUAUGAAGGCAUCAUCUAUUCUAACAAAUUUGAUAUCCACAUGCACAUCUGUGACUUCAAAGUGUCUUCUCCACCCCUGUUAUAUUACCACACUGUAGACCUCAUUAUUUUUAUGAGAAAGCCCAAUUUUUAAGUAUUGUUUGCAAAACUUUCACAAACCAGAUCUUCUUUAGGUUUUUAUCCGCUUUCUCUUAGUCUCCACUUCAAACUUAAGACAGUUAAAACUUCUCUCACUUUCUUACAUGCACUAUAUUAAUUCUUCUGUAAUCUUCAAGGAUGCUAUUUACUCUUUUGGAAACACUUUCCAUUUACUUUGGCCAUUCUAACCUCUCUCUUUAUUAGGUAAACAUUGUUCUUUAAAGAGGAGCUUGAAGGUCAUUUGCACCAGGUAGCCUUUGCUAUCUGGCACCAUGAAGCAUGGGUGUAGUGUUCCUGAUAUGUUCUCCCUAUUCUUUGCCAGGGAACUCCUCACACACUGCAAUGUGUUUACUUGUGUGUCUGCCCAGAAGGACAACCCCCUUUACUUCUAUUCCCAAAGGCAGGGAUCAAUGUUCUCCUGUUCAUUAUUUUUGGCCUCAGGGACAAACACAAUGUUUGGCAUAUGGCACAAGAGGCUUUCCAUAAGUACUUGUUGAAUGCAUACAUAUGUACAAAAGGUAACUUUUACAAUUUGUGAAAUCAGCUUUUCAAACAGAAAAUAGAGUUUAUGAGUAGAGCUUCUCAGCAAAUUGUAUUUUAUCACAAUGCCAACAUGUAUAACAUUAUCUCUACAUUUUUUGUUUUGCAAUAAUAAUUUUGCAAGUUCUGAGUGUUGGCACUAAAUUAUGAAAUACAAAUAAGCAAUACUAUAAAGUGAAAGUAGAUGGCUCUUUUUUUAAAAAAAAUUCUUUUAUUGGUACAUUUUAGGUAUACAAUACGUUUACAUUUAUCUUUGGGUACUUGUACCUGUACAUGAUGUAUCUUGGUUCUUAUUUUUUCGCAUUCCCAGUGCUCCCUUCACUGCCUCCACCUUCACUAUUUACAAAGACUUUGUUUCCAUUUUUUCCUUUGCUUAUAAUUUUUCCUUUCCCUUUCCCCUUCCACUUCCCCUACCCCUUUGGACCUUGCCUUCCUAUUUCAAAUGAUCAAUUAUUCAUUUUAAUCAUUUUAAUCCUUAUUUACACUUUCAGUUUCUCACACUAGAGAAACUAUUCAGUAUGUACACAUGUGUGUCCUAUUUAUUUCACUUAAGAGUAUGGCCCCAAUAUGCACCAUUUAGCUAUAAAUGUCUCUAGUUUCUCAUUCUUUAUGGCUGAGUAGUACUCCAUUUUAUUAAAAAACUACAUCUUUAUCCAGUUUCCAGUUGAUGGGCACCUGGGCUGUUUCCAAGCUUUUGGUAUUACAAACUGUGCUGCUAUAAACAUGGGUGCACAUAUAUCACUGUGGUAUGAUUCUUUUAGUUCUUUUGGGAAGAUACCCAGUAGGGGAAUAGCUGGGUCAACUCUACUCCUAGUUCUUUGGGGUAUCUCCAUACUGAUUUCCACAGUGGUUGCACCAGUCUGCACCCCCACCAACAACAGAGAAGGGUUCCUUUCUCCCCACAACCCUGGCAACAUUUAUUAUUUGUUGAUUUCUAGAUAGCAGCCAUUCUUUCUGGGGUGAGGUGGAAUCUCAGUGCUGUUUUCAUCUGUAUCUCUUGAAUGACCAGUGACUUGAACAUUUUUUCAUAUUUAUUUGUUGCUUUUACUUCUUUGUCUGAGAAAUGUCUGUUCAUUUCGGAUGCCCAUUUUUGAAAUGGGUCUUUGAAUUUGGGGGGGUCUGAUUUUUUUAAGUUCUUUGUAUAUUCUAGUCCUUUGAGGUACAGCUGCUAAAAUUUUUUUCCCACAUUGUAGGUUGUCUCUUAGCUCUGUUGGUGGUUUCUCUUGCAGUCCAGAAGCUUUUUAGUAAGAUGAGAUCCUAGUUGUUGAUUCUUUGUGCUAGUUCCUGUGCUACUGAGGUUUUGUUCAUAAAGUCUUUUCCUAUGUCAAUGUCUUCAAGAGCUCUACCUAACUUAUCUUCCAGCCAGUUUAGUGUUUCUGUUUUACUAUUUAGAUCUUUAAUCCACUUCAAUCUUAGUUUAGUGGAUGGUGAUAGAUAUGGGUCUAGUUUUAAUCUUUGGCACAUUGAAAUCCAGUUUUUCCAACACCAUUUAUUAAAUAGGCUAUCUUUCCUCCAAUGAGAGUGGUUGGCUCCUUUGUCAAACAUGAGGUGGCUGAGUAUGUCUGGAGUUGUUUCUGCAUCUUCUAGAUUUCUUCCACUGGUCCUUGGGUCUAUUUCUUUGGGUUUGUUUCUUUGGGUCUGUGCCAUGCUGUUUUUAUCACAGUAGCUUUGUAGUAUAGUUUCAAGUUGGGGAUUGUGAUACCCCCUACCAUGUCUUUGUUGCCUAGAAUUGCUUGUGCUAUUCUAGGUCUCUUCUGGUUCCACAUGAAUUUUUGGAUUGUUUUUUGUAGUUAUGUGAAAUAUAUUAUUGGAAUUUCAAUUGGCAUUGCAUUGAAUCUGUAGAGCAGUUUUGGAAGUAUGGCUAUUUUCACUAUAUUGGUUCUUCCUACCCAGGAGGAAGGGAUGUCUUUCCAUUUUCUGAUAUCCUCUUCAAUCUCUUUUUUCAGAGUGCUGUAGAUUUCAGUGCAGAGGUCUUUUGCUUCCUUUGUUAGAUUGAUUCCUAGAUAUUUGAAUCUUUGGAUGCUGUUGUAAAAGGAGUUGUUUCCCUAAUUUCUCUCUCAGUGAGUCUGUUAUUUGUGUUCAAGAAGGCUAUUGUUUUCUGAGUGCUGACCUUGUAUCCAGCUACUCUACUGAAUCUGUCAAUUAAGUUUAGAAGUCUUUUGGUGGAGUUUUUUGGGUCGUGUAUGCAAAGUAUCAUAUCAUCAGCAAAUAAUGACAGUUUAACUUCUUCCUUUCCUAUCUUUAUUAAUUUUAUUUCUUUCUCUUAUCUAAUUGCUGUGGCUAAUGUUUCCAGAACUAUAUUGAACAGGAGUGGUGAUAUUGGGCAUCCUUGUCUUGUUCCUGAUUUUAGUGUGAAAGUUUUCAGUUUUUGACCAUUUAGUAUGAUGUUGGCUGUUGGUUUUUCAUAGAUAGCCUUAAUCAGGUUGAGAUAAAGACCUUCUAUUCCAAUUUUCUGUAGAGUUUUUAUCAUGAAUGUGUGUUGGAUUUUGAUGAAUGCUUUUUCUGCAUCUAUUGAGAAGAUCAUAUGGUUUUUGUCCUUGGCUCUGUUAAUAUAGUGUAUUAUGUUUAUGGAUUUACAUAUGUUGGAUCAUCCUUGCAUCCCUGGGAUUAAUACAACUUUGUCAGGGUGUGUGAUCUUCUCAAUGGCCCUCUGUAUUCUCUUUUCCAGUAUCUUGUUGAGGAUUUUUGCAUCUAUAUUCAUUAGGGAGAUUGGCCUGUAGUUCUCUUUUUUGGUUGGGUCUUUACCUGGUUUUGGAAUCAAAGUGACAUUUGCUUCCAGGAAUGAAUUUGGAAGUAUUGCUUGAAAUACUUCACUCCAGGCUCUCCUUGACUUGAGGGUUUGUGUUGAGAAGUUUGCCAUGAUUCUAAUGGGCUUUCCUUUGUGGGUGAUUGUUUCUUUUCUCUAACUGCUUGUAGGAUUUUGUUCUUUUGUUGGGUUUCUGGGAUCUUGACUAUUAUAUGUCUAGGUGUAGAUUUUUUGAUCAUGGCUAGUUGGAGUUCUAUAUGCCUCACUUAUGUGUAUGUCCAAUUCUCUACCUCUGUCUGGGAAGUUUUCUACUAUUACUUCUGUGAACAGUUUUUUUUAUGUCAAUUGUACUUUCUCCUUCUUUUUCAUGGACUCCUGACAGUCUUAUGUUAUUCUUCUUUGCAUCAUCUAGCAGCUGCUGGAUUGAUUUCUCAUGGUCCCUUACUAUUUUUAAGAAAUCUCUGUUUUCAUGGUCCUUAACCACAAUCCUGUCUUCUAUAUCUGAUAUUCUGUUUUCACAUUCCUUUAAUCUGCUGUAAAUACUCUCUCAGUGGAGUUUUUAAUCUCUUGGCUAUCUAUUCAAAUUUGUUUUGUGGAUUCCGCUUCUUUCUUUUGUUGGGCAGUCGUGGUUUCCAUUUCUUUCUCUUUUUUUGGUACUGGGGAUUGAACUUGGGUCCUUGUGCUUGUGAAUCAGGCAGCAGAACCACUGAGCUAAAUUCUCGGCCCCUCCAUUUCUUUCUUAUGCUGGGCAUACAUGGCUUCCAGUAUGGUUCUGAGCUCAUCUAUUUUUUUGUCUUUGUUUCUGUACUACAUCCUCUAACCAUGCCUUUCACUCUGCUCACCAUCUUUGUAGUUAUCUGGGA
ensembl:lncRNA